rnacentral:rRNA from 1 species
UACGUAGGGUGCAAGCGUUACUCGGAAUUACUGGGCGUAAAGCGUGCGCAGGCGGUGAUGUAAGACAGAUGUGAAAUCCCCGGGCUCAACCUGGGAACUGCAUUUGUGACUGCAUCGCUGGAGUACGGCAGAGGGGGAUGGAAUUCCGCGUGUAGCAGUGAAAUGCGUAGAUAUGCGGAGGAACACCGAUGGCGAAGGCAAUCCCCUGGGCCUGUACUGACGCUGAGGCGCGAAAGCGUGGGUAGCAAACGGG